rnacentral:lncRNA from 1 species
AGAAAAGUUGAUUUACUGUCAUUAUAAUGAUUGUCAGAUGAAAAUCCUAUCUGAAAAGCUGCAAAUGUCAUAUGCCCAUAUAUUCCAUUGUGUGACAUAAUUAAUGAUAAAAGAGGGUCAAAAGAUACCAAAGGGACAGUCAAACUCAUAAAAAUAAACUGAAAACGCCAUGGCUAAAAAUGAAAAAGACAAACCGACAAACAGUAGUACACAUGACACAACAUAGAAAACUGAAGAAUAAACAACACAAACCCCACCAAAAACUAGGGGUGAUCUCAGGUGCUCCAGAAGGGUAAGCAGAUCCUGCUCCACAUGUGGCACCGUGGUGUUGCUUAUGUGAUAACAAAUCCAGUAAAAAGUCUAAUUCGGUAGGUCACAUUCAUGAAAGGGAAG